rnacentral:rRNA from 1 species
AUUGAACGCUGGCGGCAUGCUUUACACAUGCAAGUCGGACGAGUGGCGAACGGGUGAGUAACGCAUCGGAACGUACCGAGUAAGGGGGGAUCACUGUCCGAAAGGACAUCUAAUACCGCAUUUUAUUCGAGCGGCCGAUGUCGGUUUAGCUGGUGGGGGGGGAAAAGGCGCACAAAGGCGACGGUCAGUAGCGGGUCUGAGAGGAUGCUCCGCCACACUGGAACGGAGACACGGCCCAGACUCCUACGGGAGGCAGCAGUGGGGAAUUUUGGACAAUGGGCGAAAGCCUGAUCCAGCCAUGCCGCGUGUCUGAAGAAGGCCUUCGGGUUGUAAAGGACUUUUGGCAGGGAAGCGGUACCUGAAGAAUAAGCACCGGCUAACUACGUGCCAGCAGCCGCGGUAAUUC